GCCGGGCCUGGCGGACCUGCUCGGCGCGGGUGCCGCGGGCGGGCUGGGCGCCGCCAUUUUGGCGCUCGGCGGCCGGUGCGAGUCCGGCAUCGGGCU
rnacentral:tRNA from 1 species